rnacentral:tRNA from 1 species
UUAUUGAUAGGUUAUAAUUUAAACUAACAAAUUGUGGAUUUGUUGAAUACUAUAUUGUAUCAGUAAA